rnacentral:rRNA from 1 species
UUCCGGUUGAUCCUGCCGGACCCGACCGCUAUCGGGGUAGGGCUAAGCCAUGCGAGUCGCGCGCCCGGGGGCGCCCGGGAGCGGCGCACGGCUCAGUAACACGUGCCCAACCUACCCUCGGGAGGGGGACACCCCCGGGAAACUGGGGCCAAUCCCCCAUAGGGGAGGGGCGCUGGAAGGCCCCCUCCCCCAAAGGGAUGGCGGCCGAUCCGCCGCCAUCCGCCCGAGGAUGGGGGCACGGCCCAUCAGGUAGUUGGCGGGUUAAAGGCCCGCCAAGCCGAAGACGGGUAGGGGCGGUGAGAGCCGCGAGCCCCGAGAUCGGCACUGAGACAAGGGCCGAGGCCCUACGGGGUGCAGCAGGCGCGAAUACUCCGCAAUGCGGGCAACCGCGACGGGGCUACCCCGAGUGCCGGGCGAAGAGCCCGGCUUUUGCCCGGUCUAAAAAGCCGGGAGAAUAAGCGGGGGGCAAGUCUGGUGUCAGCCGCCGCGGUAAUACCAGCUCCGCGAGUGGUCGGGGUGUUUACUGGGCUUAAAGCGCCCGUAGCCGGCACGGCAAGUCGCUCCUGAAAUCCCCGGGCUCAACCCGGGGGCGGGGGGCGAUACUGCCGGGCUAGGGGGCGGGAGAGGCCGCCGGUACUCCGGGGGUAGGGGCGAAAUCCGUUAAUCCCCGGAGGACCACCAGUGGCGAAAGCGGGCGGCCAGAACGCGCCCGACGGUGAGGGGCGAAAGCCGGGGGAGCAAAGGGGAUUAGAUACCCCUGUAGUCCCGGCCGUAAACGAUGCGGGCUAGCUGUCGGCCGGGCUUAGGGCCCGGCCGGUGGCGAAGGGAAACCGUUAAGCCCGCCGCCUGGGGAAUACGGCCGCAAGGCUGAAACUUAAAGGAAUUGGCGGG